rnacentral:lncRNA from 1 species
GUUGAAUCUCGGAUUUUGAUGAUGAAACAAAUUGAUUGUGUUUAGAUGUUUAACUACAUUUUGAGUGAUGCAGGUCUACUCGAUCAGGAUUAGAUAGUUGACGCAGGAGGAAUUGACGUUGCGCCGGAGGAGAUCACGUCAGGAUAUUGGACGACAGAAGGCUUCGGACGUCGGGCAUCAGGCCAAGGAGAGCGGAAUUGCACCAAGGAUAUCGGGGUUACGGAGGUCAACCACCGAUUGGGCAACA